rnacentral:rRNA from 1 species
AUUGAACGCUGGCGGCAUGCCUUACACAUGCAAGUCGAACGGCAGCACGGGUGCUUGCACCUAGUGGCGAGUGGCGAACGGGUGAGUAAUACAUCGGAACGUACCUUAUCGUGGGGGAUAACGCAGCGAAAGCUGUGCUAAUACCGCAUACGCCCUGAGGGGGAAAGCGGGGGAUCGCAAGACCUCGCGCGAUUAGAGCGGCCGAUGCCUGAUUAGCUUGGUGGUGGGGUAAAAGCCCACCAAGGCGACGAUCAGUAGCUGGUCUGAGAGGACGAUCAGCCACACUGGGACUGAGACACGGCCCAGACUCCUACGGGAGGCAGCAGUGGGGAAUUUUGGACAAUGGGGGCAACCCUGAUCCAGCAAUGCCGCGUGAGUGAAGAAGGCCUUCGGGUUGUAAAGCUCUUUUGUCAGGGAAGAAACACCGGCUCUAACACAGUCCGGGAAUGACGGUACCUGAAGAAUAAGCACCGGCUAACUACGUGCCAGCAGCCGCCGUAA